rnacentral:lncRNA from 1 species
GAAGAACCACAAGCUAACCCAUGACUGAUAUCUGUAUCUGUAUACUACAUAAAAUACUUUAUAAUGCAAAAACAUAAACUAAAAGGCCAUAAGGUUUAAUACUGAACAUGAUCUGGAUGAUAUAACAUCUUUGUGGGGGUAAUAGAAUACCCAAAACAAAACCAAACAUACUGACAUGAUAAUCUAAAAAGUCUCUAACUUAUUGAACUAUCUAAGUAAGGAGUUGAUGGGACAUGUCC